rnacentral:rRNA from 1 species
UACGUAGGGGGCAAGCGUUAUCCGGAUUUACUGGGUGUAAAGGGAGCGUAGACGGCGAUGCAAGCCAGAUGUGAAAGCCCGGGGCUCAACCCCGGGACUGCAUUUGGAACUGUAUAGCUAGAGUGUCGGAGAGGCAGGCGGAAUUCCUAGUGUAGCGGUGAAAUGCGUAGAUAUUAGGAGGAACACCAGUGGCGAAGGCGGCCCGCUGGACGAUGACUGACGUUGAGGCUCGAAAGCGUGGGGAGCAAACAGG